GUGUCAGCCGCCGCGGUAAUACAGAGGUGGCAAGCGUUGUUCGGAAUUACUGGGCGUAAAGGGCGCGUAGGCGGCCAUCUAAGUCAGACGUGAAAUCCCCCGGCUUAACCUGGGAACUGCGUCUGAUACUGGACGGCUUGAGUAUGGGAGAGGGAUGUAGAAUUCCAGGUGUAGCGGUGAAAUGCGUAGAUAUCUGGAGGAAUACCGGUGGCGAAGGCGGCAUCCUGGACCAUUACUGACGCUGAGGCGCGAAAGCUAGGGGAGCAAACGGGAUUAGAAACCCCCGUAGUCC
rnacentral:rRNA from 1 species